rnacentral:lncRNA from 1 species
CACUCUUAUGUUUUUACAAGUUCAUGUAUAUUUUGUUCUGUCCGAGUUUUUUUAACACUAACCACAAGAGGGGUUGCUCUAAUGGUAAGCAACCCCCACUUCCAUCCGAGAGGUUGUGAGUUCGAGUCUCCCCAAGAGCAAGGUGGGAAGUUCUUGGAGGGAAGUAUGUUUGGGGGUCUAUUUGGAAACAGUCUCUCUACCCAAGGGUAGGGGUAAGGUCUGCAUACACACUACCCUCCCCAGACCCCAUUAAAAUGAGAUUAUACUGGGUUAUUGUUAUUAUUACAUCAGCAAAUGCAGUUCAAACAUGAGGUUAACAAAAGUCUCAAGCCCUAUAAAUAUAAAAUGAUGUAUUUGAUCUAAACAACUUGCAUUACGUUAGAGAUAUGUUUGUUACUCAACUACUACUAAUUGCCGGGAUAACUAAUUUAUACCAUGAUUUUAUUUCAAUUAAAUAUGGAUUAAAUUCAUCUCAAAUUUAAUCCUGAGAUUAAUUAUCCGCCAUCCUUCAUACCAAAAUAGCCUUUAUUGACACAGUAAGUUCAUCAAUAAUUAUCAAUAUAUUGAUAGAAUAAAGCCCUGCAAGUCCAACAGAAGCAAAGAUUAUUAGGUGAUCUCUUCUCAUUUGUCUAAGUUUUGGUGAAUAAAGUUAUCCGAUACCUAUGCUGUUGAGAGGUAGGAGGUACCGUGGAAUUAGUGAAGGUGCGAGCAAGAUGGUUCGGAUACCACCGUCAUAUGAAAGAACCUGCAAGUCCUCCUAAAAGUAGCUUUUAUGUGGACUAGAUAGUUACUUGACUAUCAAUCUCAUUUCAAGGUAGAAAAAAAUGUAGUCCAAAGAUCCUCAGCUGAGGAAUUCCCCUCUGCAUGUGCUGAAGUUGGUGUUGUCAUGAUAUCAGAAUUGGUCAUGUUGAGGACUGAAUUGGAGUUUA